CCCUUUGGGAAGCUGUUACUAAAACUAGGCCCAGGGAGCAAAGUGUGUGACUAUUGCAUUUCAAAGAGAAGUUUUACAUAUGAGAGUAGGAGAGCAACCCCAGGGCCUCCAGGUGCAAGGCUGAUCCAAGGUCAAAUGGAGACCCUGCAAACAUCAGAGUACAGAGGCCCUGGCACUGCCUCCGAUUACGGAUGUAGCACACAUUAGACCUCCUUCCACUGAAAAGUGACUGAAUGCUGGGAAAGGAUUGCUGCAGUUCCAAGAGCCAUAGUUGACUAGUCCAGUCUUUGUGUAACAACAUGGCAUGCAGCAGCUAAUAUCCAGAGAGACUGAUGUUGUCUGGCCAACAGGAAGUUUUCCUGCCUUUAUCAGGAUUGAUCUAUUGGCCAUUAUCUUUGGAAACUCAUGGUAAUUGGAGGAGGUCCCAGAUGAAUGGAAAACAGAAAAUGUAAUGUCCAACUUUAAAAAAGGGAAGAAGAAGAAUCUGAGGAACUACAG